CCGCUGCGGCACACCUGCACCAGGGUAAACCCCCGCCUACUCCAGUCCUGCUUUACAGGACUUUGCAUACCUUCCUCUUACCACAUAAGGUACUUCCACUAUGUCAAUUUGAUAAUGAAUUGGACUGAUGCUCAAAAUUACUGCAGAGAGAAAUACACAGACCUGGCCACCAUCGACAGCAUGGAGGCCAUAAACAGACUGAACAGACCUCCUUUAUCAACCACUACAGCAUGGAUUGGAUUAAGAGAUGACUCCGAAGCCUGGAAGGGAACACUGAAAAAUUAUACCAACUCAUGGAGAUGGUCAGCAACUGGUCAAACAAGUAAAACUGGUUAUGAAGUUUGGCGUACUGGUGAGCCAGAUAAUUCUUUCAGUUCUGAAUUCUGCGGGUUUAUGAACUCUGAUGGAACAUGGUCUGAUAAAGACUGUUUUCUUCUUAGCCCUUUUAUUUGUUACACAGAGACAACAAACUCCUAUGUGUAUGUCACAAUUGCACGCAUAUGGUUGGAUGCACAAGCUCACUGCAGAGCAUACUACACUGACUUGGUUACAAUCGAGAGCUCUGUUGAAAAUACAAAGGUCUUUCAAAAAAAAAUCGCCUUUGAGUGGAGUGUGGAUUGGUCUUUAUAGAGAACCAUGGACUUGGUCUGAUAACAGCAACAGCUUAUUUAGAAACUGGCUAUCUGGAAAACCAAAUAACGCUGACUUUAACGACUUUUGUGUGUGUGAAUAUUGUCAACAUCAAUGGACCGAUGAUGAUUGCGCUCUUAAGAAAGCUUUCAUUUGCGAGGAAGGUGACUGUUCCCUUCUCCAAAGAAACUUUAUCUUCUUUUUUGUUUUAAUUACUGUGCAUCUGACUUGUUUGUGAUUUUAUAUUUUAUAUUGUUCAGAUAGAGUGCAUACAACUGUGGUGAAAAUAAGGAUUCAAACUGACACUAACUUGACAGAUGACACUAUUAACACCCAGGUCCUGCAACAGGUCAUUCUUUUCUCUUCUCCAUUGUUUUUUAGAAGUAGGAAUGGUAGGACAAAAAUCUGAUAUGAAGUUAUACUGAAUUUAACAUAAGAAAAUGUUGCCAAGAAAUGCCAAUUAUUGUAUUCUUUCUUAGCUAAGUGCAAAACUAGCAAGUGAGGAACCAGCUGAUAUCAAGCUGCAAUGGAAGAUUCAGCCCAGAAAACAGGAGACAGUCAACUUGACACAUGCGACCUGUACAACAUUCCCUUGACAAAGACAAUUAUGAAUAAAUGAGUCAAUCAAUAAUACUUACUUUUCAAAUGAGGAACCUGUCUCUAAGGUGACCAUAUCCAAACAAGUCUGGUCACCCUAUUUUGGGAAGAAUAGGUUUGUUUGACAAAAUGUUACACAUGGUUUGUGUUAAGAGGUAGUUUGAAAUUUUGUUGUAAUAUAUAUUUAGUAGAUAAAGGUCAAGUAAAUGACACAUGGAUACUUUACUAAUACAAUGAUUUACUAACUUGAUGGUAGUUACUUUAUAUGUUUUUAGCCUGUCUUUAAAACUGUGCGGCUUGUGACUGAUAAACAACUUCUCCUAGAUUUAGUUUUUUCAAAGGUUAUUUUUAUUUAUUUAUAAAUGAAACUAUGUGACAUCUCUUGGCUUAUUACUAAGCAACAAUAAGCCACAUGGAAUUAUUUUUUCAAGUAUGGGAAAAAACAAAUCAAAUUUCAUUUUACACGUAUUCAUUUUCAUUGCCACAGUUAAAUUCCUCGCACAUAAAUUCAAAAAAUGUCUUGCGCAUGACUUAUGGCAAAAAAUAAUAUUUCCAUAACACAGACACAAUUUUACAUAUUCAGGUUUACAGAGUCAUUGAAAAUCAACAGAGAUGAAUGAAAUUAGUGUUUUUUAUGUUUAUCUAGGAAUUUUGAAAUUUUAAGAAACACAGGGGGGAAAAUAAAAACGUAGAAGAUAGUAAAAAAUAACAAAUUAAACUAUACAUAAACUUUAAAACUGAUGGACCAUCCUAACACGGCCAUAAUAUAAUUUCUUGUUUUGACUCUUUUUAUGGCUAAAUGAUUGGAAAGUUAAAUAACUUAGAUUAGUCAUCUACCUAUUAAUAGCCAUUAGUUUGAGUUUGUUUGAGUUGGAUUUAAAUCUUUUUAAAUAAAUGAAAUCAUUUUUUAAAAGUAGUCUGCUCCUAGAUUUAACCUGGAGUGCCACUGUUGCAGUUUAAUAGUUGAAUGAACCUGGAAUUUAAAUCUGAACUCAAAACAAAAAUAAUGAGUCAAAAGUAACCUUUUUACAUUUUAUCAUAUUUUCCUUCAUUAUUCAUAGAUUUACACUACACUGCACAGACAACACUCAUUUGAUUUUAAUAAUGGUAGGAAAAUGUCUCUUUUGUCUUUAUCUACCUUAUAUUUUACAGAAGAAAUCAUUUAGGUCUUAUAAAUCGCUUUGUAUAAUCUUAUUUUUGAAAACUGCUCUACAAAUGCAUUGGCUAGUUUUAUCACUAGAAAUGUUUGAUGUAUCCAUUAAACUUAACUUUCCUAAUCAUGAUGUAAUCACAUUGUAAGGUUGCUUUUGUGGGAUUUAGUGUGUUUA